GAAAAUGGUCGUCUUAUCGCCUCUGCUUGCAGGGGAGGAAAGUCUGGACAGCGUAGAGCAUCAUGCUUCCUAACGGGAAGGCACGUAUUUGGCGACGAAUCCGUGACAGCUAGUGCCACAGAAAAUUACCGCCCGCAAGGGUAAGGGUGAAAAGGUAGCGUAAGAGACUACCGCCUUAAUGGUGACAUUGAGGGCAGAGGUAAACCUCAUGAGAUGAAAGACCAAAUAGGUCGGCAAGCAAAGGCGUAAGCCAAUGUAAAGGGCUGCUCGUUCGUGCCGACGGGUAGGUUGAUAGAGCGUAUCGGUGACGAUGCGUCGAGAUAAAUGAUGAGACGGUUUUUAGCAAUAAAAACUGACAGAAUCCGGCUUAUAGACCAUUUUUAUUU
rnacentral:RNase_P_RNA from 1 species